UACGGAGGGUGCAAGCGUUGUUCGGAAUGAUUGGGCGUAAAGAGCGCGUAGGCGGUUUAUUAAGUCGAUUGUGAAAUCCCCGGGCUUAACCCGGGACGUGCAGUCGAAACUGAUAAUCUUGAAUACCUGAGAGGUUGGUAGAAUUCCUGGUGUAGGAGUGAAAUCCAUAGAUAUCAGGAGGAACAUCGGUGGCGAAGGCGGCCAACUGGCAGUGUAUUGACGCUGAGGCGCGAAAGCGCGGGUAGCAAACAGG
rnacentral:rRNA from 1 species